UAAUUAAUUAAAUCGGUCAUCUCCUUCGCGAAUUCUUACACAGUCGCUUAGCGCAGAACCUCUUCUGCUUUUCUUUCUCUCAAUUCGUAGCCGCGAUUCAUUUUCUCCCGCUUGAUCUCAGCUGCCGAUUGCGUGUUUGUUGAUUGGUGUCGGUGGAUCUUGGCAUCGGAUCUCUGUGCUUGUCAAUUUCAUAGGCUGAAUCGGUUAAAAUGCCUCUCAAAUUAGAAAUCAAGAGGAAACUUGCUCAACGAUCGGAAAGAGUAAAAUCUGUGGAUCUGCAUCCGACAGAGCCAUGGAUAUUGGCAAGUUUGUAUUCAGGGACUGUUGGCAUCUGGAACUAUCAGACUCAGACAAUGGUUAAAUCUUUUGAGGUUACAGAAUUGCCAGUUCGGUCAGCCAAGUUUAUAUCACGAAAGCAGUGGGUGGUUGCUGGUGCUGAUGACAUGUUCAUUCGUGUAUACAAUUACAAUACAAUGGAUAAAGUCAAAGUAUUUGAAGCCCAUACAGAUUAUAUUAGAUGUGUGGCAGUUCACCCCACUCUUCCAUAUGUGCUGUCAUCCUCUGAUGAUAUGUUAAUAAAGCUCUGGGAUUGGGAAAAGGGGUGGAUAUGUACUCAAAUCUUUGAGGGCCAUUCCCAUUAUGUGAUGCAAGUUACUUUUAAUCCCAAAGAUACGAACACUUUUGCCAGUGCAUCUCUUGAUCGCACUAUAAAGAUUUGGAAUCUUGGCUCCCCUGAUCCAAACUUUACACUGGAUGCUCACCUCAAAGGAGUCAAUUGUGUUGAUUAUUUCACUGGUGGAGACAAACCUUACUUAAUCACGGGUUCUGAUGAUCACACUGCUAAGGUUUGGGAUUAUCAGACAAAAAGUUGUGUCCAGACUCUAGAAGGCCACACACACAAUGUGUCUGCAGUCUGCUUCCAUCCCGAGCUUCCUAUCAUAAUAACUGGGUCAGAGGAUGGUACAGUCCGGAUUUGGCAUUCCACCACCUAUAGACUUGAAAAUACCUUAAAUUAUGGCCUUGAGAGAGUUUGGGCAGUUGGCUAUAUAAAAGGUUCAAGACGGGUUGUAAUUGGUUAUGAUGAGGGAACCAUCAUGGUGAAGCUUGGUCGCGAGGUACCUAUUGCUAGUAUGGAUAAUGGUGGGAAAAUUAUAUGGGCCAAGCAUAAUGAAAUUCAGACAGUUAACAUUAAAAGUGUUGGCGCAGAUUAUGAGGUUGCUGAUGGAGAGAGAUUGCCUUUGGCAGUUAAGGAAUUGGGAACUUGUGACCUUUACCCACAGAACUUAAAGCAUAAUCCAAAUGGAAGGUUUGUUGUGGUAUGUGGAGAUGGUGAGUACAUCAUAUAUACGGCUUUGGCAUGGAGAAACAGAUCAUUUGGUUCCGCAUUGGAAUUUGUUUGGUCAACGGAGGGAGAAUAUGCUGUUAGAGAAAGUACAUCAAAGAUUAAGAUCUUCAGCAAAAACUUUGUGGAGAAGAAAAGCAUCCGGCCCACAUUUUCUGCAGAGCACAUUUAUGGGGGAACUUUACUGGCAAUGUGUUCAAAUGAUUUCAUUUGCUUCUAUGAUUGGGCUGAAUGCCGAUUGAUCAGAAGAAUUGAUGUUAAUGUUAAAAAUCUAUACUGGGCUGACAGUGGUGAUUUGGUGGCCAUUGCCAGUGAUGCAUCAUUCUACAUACUGAAGUAUAAUCGUGAUGUGGUCUCGGCUCAUCUAGAUAGCGGGAGAUCGGUAGAUGAACAAGGUGUGGAAGAUGCUUUCGAACUUCUUUAUGAAAUUAAUGAACGAGUAAGAACGGGAAUAUGGGUUGGAGACUGUUUCAUUUAUAACAAUUCUUCCUGGAGACUCAAUUACUGUGUUGGUGGUGAGGUAACUACAAUGUUUCAUUUGGACCGACCUAUGUACCUGCUUGGUUAUCUAGCAAAUCAAAGUAGAGUUUAUCUCAUCGACAAAGAAUUCAAUGUUAUGGGAUAUACUUUGCUACUGGGUUUGAUCGAGUAUAAGACUCUCGUAAUGCGUGGUGAUUUGGAAAGGGCAAAUGAAGUCUUACCAUCUAUUCCAAAGGAGCACCUAAACAGUGUGGCUCAUUUCUUGGAAUCACGGGGUAUGAUAGAAGAGGCACUUGAAGUUGCUACAGAUCCUGACUACAGAUUUGAGCUAGCCGUACAGCUAGGCAAACUAGGGAUUGCAAAGGAAAUUGCUACAGCUGCGCAGAGUGAGUCUAAGUGGAAGCAAUUGGGUGAAUUGGCCAUGUCCACUGGAAUGUUAGAGAUGGCAGAAGAAUGCUUGAAGCAAGCAAAUGAUUUGAGUGGUUUAUUGCUGCUAUAUUCCUCUUUGGGCAAUGCUGAGGGAAUUGCUGAACUUGCAUCUAUUGCCAAAGAGCAUGGCAAAAACAAUGUUGCAUUCCUUUGUUUAUUUACAUUGGGUAAAUUGGAGGACUGUCUUCAGCUGCUGGUUGACAGCAAUCGGAUACCUGAAGCUGCGUUGAUGGCACGGUCAUACCUUCCAAGCAAGGUGUCAGAAAUCAUUGCUCUUUGGAGAAAGGAUCUCAAUAAGAUUAAUCAGAAAGCAGCAGAGUCUUUGGCUGAUCCUGAAGAGUAUCCUAAUCUUUUUGAAGAUUGGCAAGUUGCCCUUGCUGUAGAAGCCAAAGCUGCUGAAUCAAGGGGCGACUUUCCUCCCGCAGCUGCAUAUGUGCAAUAUGCUGAUAGAUCAACUGCAAGUCUUGUAGAAACUUAUAAAAACAUGCAAAUGGAUGAAGAGCCCCUGGAAAAUGGAGGCUUGGAUUAUGAGGAUACGCACCAAAAUGGGGAUGAAGCAGAUGACAUAGAGCAACACAGCGAGCAGGUAGAGGAGCGUGAUGAUAGCCAGGAAGAGGCUGUCGUGGUUGAUGCGGAUUCAACAGAUGGUGCUGUAUUUGUGAAUGGAAAUGAGGCCGAGGAAGAGUGGGGUACGAAUAAUGAAGGAAAACCAUCAGCGUAAAAGCAAUUGGUUGGGCCGUGUGAAAAUACCUAGUUUUGUUUACUGUGCUUACACCACCUCACUAAUUCCAUAGAAGACAGACGGUUCCAGCUGAGUACAACUUUUCUCAUGAUAGAUACACGCACACGGCAAUCGGGAAGGGAAGGGGGAAGGGGACCAGUGUUGUGAGUGAUAAGCAAAAAGGAUUUUGUAAUUCGGACGUCCUGUAGAAUUUGGAGUUUGAGCUGAGCCAUCAGUGAGUCAAGUCUUAGUUAAACCAUAAUUUUUGUUAAAACUUUUAAUUCUGACUUUCUUUCCCUUUCUCUAUGUUCUGUGAUUUAUAAUAUACGAUGAUGGUGAUGAUGAUGCAUAUAUAUAUAUUUCUAAUAGUGUUACAAUUAUUGUAUGAAUGUUGCAAUAUUAUUUUUUCUAAUAUUACAUUUUUUUAGCUGCUA